ensembl:lncRNA
UUCAGAUUCAAAUCCAGACCAAGUGCAAAGGCAAAGCUGCAGGUCCUGGAAUCACACCAGGCUUCCCUCUGUGAAAUCCUAUGAUGGCAGUGUCAGCGGGUUAAGGAGGCCGUGUGGGAUUCAGGAAGAGCCCCGGCACGGGAGACCUCCUUAAUGCAACUUGAGAGCAUCCUUUCACCAAUGAACAGUUGAAACUGAAAUUUACUGUUUUAAAACAACGUGUAUGUAGUCACUGAUUAUGAUGCCAAGCACUCCGAAGUGCCUUGCAAAUAGUAGCCAUUGCUAUGUGUUCACGAAAACGCUUCCAAAGCUUGCACCCUGCAGUUAUAUGCUUUAUAAAUUGCUAGUGUAAUUCCAAGAGUAUCGCACCCUGUGGCUGACAAUGAGGCCCCAUCACUGACGAAGGACACUGCGCGGGGAGGGGGGUUGGGUAGGAAGCGUGGAAAGGACUCAAAGGCCGUGGGCACCGUGCUACCGUUUUUCCUGUUUUCCUACAAAGUUAGAGAGGAGGCUGGCGGGGUUAAUUUAUGACUACUUACCUCUCUCAUGUCACAGGUUACUGCAUCUCUAUAGAUUGUGGCUUCUGCUUGGUUUUGGGCGCCAAGAGGGAGCCUGCGAGGUGAGCGCGGUGGGACCCGGUGCUAGUUUCUGCCAUCUCGGGGUGGGGGGAGUAGCUCCGGAAGUAGCCGCGGUGACAGGCCCGCCGGCCAGGUGCUCGUCCUACCGCCAUGGGCACAGGCAGAUUCAGGCUUCCGGCCCUUCCGGAUAAGGGGCGAGGAUACAUUAUUUGUUGAAACUAAGGGAACAGCAAUAAAAGUUGCAAUGACAAAGAAAUGAAGAUUUAUGAUAAUUUAAAAAAAACCAACCUUGAAGUGCCUCCCCAACCUUCUCAUUUUGGGGGAGGCAAACUGGCCGCGAGCGCGGGGUCCGCUCGCCGGGGCCCGCGGUCGGGUAGACAGUCCGGCGGCCGCGCCAGCUGGGCCCGCGCGGGGGGCUGCGCGGACCCGAGGACGCAGGCGGGCUCCCACUGCCCGAGGGCUGGCCGCACGCGGGCGGGGCAACCACCAGAGCGUCGGCAGGCGCCGCCCACCCGCGGGGGAAUCCCAGGUUGGGGCGCGGGACGCGCGAAGACGCCGCGCCCCGCCCCCCGCCCCGCCCCCGCCGCCGCCCGCUCCCGGAGCCGCCGCCGCGCCGCGCUGCCAUUGGUGCCAGGCGGUGACGCGGGCGAGCGGGCCGCACGGCGGGGCGCGGGGGGCGGGCGCGGGGAGCGGGGCGCGGCUGAUGAAACCGGCUCCCGAUCCCUCCCGCUCUCAACGCUCCAUUCACUCCGCGGGGGCAGGUGUGAGCGGCAGGUCAGCUGCCGGCGGGGCGCGCGGCCACCCGGCGUCCGUUACCCGAGUCCCCCGCUCCUGCUCCCCGCGCGCCGCGCCUCCGCCCGAGCGUCCGUCAGUCCCGCCGAGCCUCGGUCGAUCGUCCGUCAGUCCAGACGCGGUCUUGCCUGCAUCCCGCCGCCCGCCGGCCCGCAAGGUGUGUGGCCCUGGCAGCGGGGACAGAGGCAGAGGGGCGCUCCGUCCAGUCCGACGCUGCGUGGGAGCGAGCAGCGCUGCCCCCAGCCCACGAGGGCCGACUCAGUUCUCCCAGCCCCUCCCCGCGCGCUACCCUGCCCCCAGCCAGCAGGACUUCCGGGCGACUUUAUCGUGCGUGUGGCCUGAGGGCCACAGACCUGCUCGUCUAGACCUUGCCUUAGCGCCUGGACCUACAGAUGCAGUGUGCACUAAUAAAUGUAAAACUUUAAACCAACGGGCAAGACUAACCAUGGCUGGGAAGGUAGCGCACGAAACAGGAGACGCUUCCGUUGCACUGUGCAUACUGCCUCCUCGUUACGACUGCUACGCCUCCAUCCACGUCUAAAAAGCGCGUAGGUGGGAUUGGACAGACGCGGCAGCAGGGGCAGGAUGGAGAAGAGGAAUACAUUUUGCAUACGUAUGUAAGUUAAAUUUGCAUGAUGUCCUAGUGCCUUUCACAUCCUGAAGUCAGACCUCACUUGUCUAAACCAUCUCACAGGCUCACAGGUGCGUGCGCACAGAUCCCCUCUGGGGAUUUCGCCGACCUGCAGAUCUGUUUCCGAAGGUCUGGGGCAGAGUUUCUAACCAGCUCCCGGGUUCUCUCGGAGUAGCCGGCAUCUGUCAAACUACUGGCAACUGGACCUCGUCAAGGAGACCUCAGCCGCCCU